rnacentral:rRNA from 1 species
UACGUAGGGUGCGAGCGUUGUCCGGAAUUAUUGGGCGUAAAGGGCUCGUAGGCGGUUUGUCGCGUCGGGAGUGAAACCAGGUGCUUAACACCUGGCUUGCUUUCGAUACGGGCAGGACUAGAGGCAUGCAGGGGAGGAACGGAAUUCCGGAUGUGAGCGGUGGAAAUGACGCAGAUAUCAGGAGGAACACCGGUGGCGAAGGCGGUUCUCUGGGCAUGUCCUGACGCUGAGGAGCGAAAGUGUGGGGAGCGAACAGG